UUAUUCUUGGUGAUCAAAACUGUCCCUAUUGAUCAGAAUAGAAGAAAGAAAGAAAAAACAAGAACGUGAUGCAAAUGAGCAAAAAAAGAAGAAUAUGAUCGCACUAAAGAGCUGCAGAAGAAGACUGAAGGAAUGAUGGCGAAGUUCAUCAGCAGAAGUGACAGCAUGGACAGUCUCAUCAACUUUACAGAAGAUCCAGAUGGAAAUGCUGUGAUUCCUGAGAAGAAAGACCAGAUCAGGCCGGUUCUGCUGGGAAAACUGGAUCUGGGCAGAAUGGAACAAGAAACAGCAUCAUCAUCAAUGGAAUAUCAUUCAGAAACCAGUGAAAGGAUCAACAAGAAGAUCUCAGUGAUCAACAAUAAACUCAUUGAAGUCCUGUCUGGAUGAUAAUGAGUCUGCCGCCGAUUUCCCACCAAUCAGGAAAACAGGGAAGAUGGUGGAGAAAAACGGAGGAAGUCUUGUGUUCGUUGGUUUUAAUGUUUCAUUCAUUUCUUUAUUUAACCAGGUUAAAAAAAAAAAAACAUCUCUUUGAGAUUAAAAUCUCUUUUGCAAGUGUGACCUGGCCAAGAAGUCAGCAACAAACAACAUAGUAUAUACAAGUUUACAUCAUAACACAAACACAAAUCAAAGAUCACAACAACAAUUCACCAAAGCAUAAAACACACAGCUUUAGAACGCUUUGUAGAUUAUUCCAAGCCAAAAUAGCAUUAUAUCCAAAACCCUUUUUCCCUAGCUCUGUUUGAACCAGAGGAACUUUAAAAUAUAUCAGAUCGUUUGAGCGUAGUUUGUAGCAUACCUUUGGUUUAGAAAAACUCAGAGACAGAUAAGAUGGAGUUAGACCACAAUUAGACUUAUAAAUAAAACAAUACAAUUAGAACUUCUCUGGGUAUAC
ensembl:lncRNA